ACGGAGGAUGCAAGCGUUAUCCGGAUUUAUUGGGCUUAAAGGGUGCGUAGGCGGAUGAUUAAGCCAGUGGUGAAAGGCAGCAGCUUAACUGUAGACUUGCCGUGGAUACUGUAUAUCUUGAGUGAGGUAAAGGAAGGUGGAAUGUGUAGUGUAGCGGUGAAAUGCUUAGAUAUUAGGAAGAACACCGAUUGCGAAGGCAGCUUUCUGGGCUGUUACUGACGCUGAGGCACGAAAGCGUGGGGAGCAAACAG
rnacentral:rRNA from 1 species